GAUGAAGAACGCAGCGAAAUGCGAUAAGUAGUGUGAAUUGCAGUAUUCAGUGAAUCAUCGAAUCUUUGAACGCACAUUGCGCCCCUUGGUAUUCCAUGGGGCAUGCCUGUUCGAGCGUCAUUUGUACCUUCAAGCUCUGCUUGGUGUUGGGUGUUUGUCUCGCCUCUGCGUGUAGACUCGCCUCAAAACAAUUGGCAGCCGGCGUAUUGAUUUCGGAGCGCAGUACAUCUCGCGCUUUGCACUCAUAACGACGACGUCCAAAAGUACAUUUUUACACUCUUGACCUCGGAUCAGGUAGGGAUACCCGCUGAACUUAAGCAUAUCAAUAAGCGGAGGA
rnacentral:misc_RNA from 1 species